CGCUGUGGUAUUAAUAAAUCUCGUUGGUUCCUUUCAGAGCUGGUGCACAUUGCUAUAAAGAGAGGACUCGAUUGCAACUCCGGCUUUACCCUUGGGAAAACUGGCAAUUUUAUCCCACAUCUGGAUUUAGCAAGUCCAGGCUGCACAAGAAGAAGAAACGAAGAAAGCGUCCGGCUGUGGUAGCUCCGUCUGCCGUUCAUUGACUCCAUUCCCGGCAGCAAUCUCGAGAUCGAGGGUCACCUCCAGGCUCCACCUCCACUUACUCUGAACUUCUGAAGACAAGACGGGUGCACACCGGGAAGAAGCCACGCUAUGCACCUCAGGCGACGGACGUAAGCUGGCAAUGUUUGCUACGUGGCUCUUUACACUUCACACUGGAUGGCGGGGCGAGAAGCGGCCAGCUGUACUGUCAGCUGAUCCCAGACCGAGUCCCAGCCAGGCAGGCGGCAGCCAUUGAGCCAGCCCCCGUAAAGGUGGCGUGUGUAUCCCUGCUCCGUCAUGUUUUCCGCCUUUUUCGCCGCCUCAGCUGUCAUGCAGCUCCCUGACUCGCCACACAGGGAGGCAGUGCACCCAUCUCACGACGUGCUGCACCGGUGGCGUGGCGUCGAGGGAAGUGCCUCUUUGUAUCCCUGCCCAGCACUUUAUUGAACACAUGAAGGUGCUCCAGAGUUUCAAGAAGGAGUGGCACACACACUUUGCUGCACUCCAAGCUUUUGGAGGUACAGCAGCACACUGCACACUACUUUCAUAAAUGUGUGUGCAGAGUGCAAGACAGAGAGGGGCAAGGAUGGAGGAUGCUUCAACAUUCACAGCAUCAUUGGUUCAUUCUUUCUUUUUUGUGGAAAAUAGUGGACACAGUUUUAACCGAAUGAUUAUAUGUCAUCAUUCAUAGUCAUAGAUUUCUUGACUUAACAUUGUGUUGACCUUUGUGCAUCAGAUCACUUCAUUACAUGUAAAUGUAUAUUUAGUUACAAGGAGUAAUGGUUUAUGAACAUUUUUAAGUAUAAAAAGUGACUUAUAAGAGAUCUUGCAUUAUGAAGAUUUGUUCUUUUAUUAUUUUUUUUGUUAUAUAAGACAAAUGUAUAGAUGGCAAUGAUAGGUGGGAUGAAGUAGACCUGUUCGUACAGGGACUGGUACCAUGUAUGUGCAGGCCUCAUGGUCCCUCUUGCAACUUUCCUCGUUUUGUUUCUCUAAUAGUUUUGUAAGUUGAAAAUAUUCCCAAAGUAAUGUAAUACUCGAAAAAAUUGUCCCAAGUUGAAAAUUGCUUAAUAAGUUGAAAAUGUUAAAGUUGUUGAAAAUUGUAAAAAAAAUUCAGUUGAAAAUGUUUGUUGUCGAACAUUGUAAAAAUUCUCGAAGUCAAAAAUUGUAAAAGUUUUCGAAAACUAUUUUUUGUCGAAAAUUGUAAAAAUUUUCUAAGUUGAAAAUUUAAAAAUUUUCUAAGUUGAAAAUUUUUCUGAG